GCCCAAUCCAAUCGCCCGCAUGCCGCAACCCUUCCUCCCUCCUUGAUCUCUCUCCCUCAGCCGCCAUGAACCCUAGCCCCUUUUCCUACGAUCCCGCGGUCGCUGCCCUUGCUCCAUCCGACCUCCCUCGUCAGCCGCCGCCGCUAUGGCUCCUCCGUCCUCCAACUCUGUCUCCCCAAUUCAUCCUCCAUCCCUUUCUGCUCGAGGUGCUCAUCAGCCCAGGUCGUGAGGAAGCCGCGUGAGGACGAGAGACCUCGCCCGAGAAGCUGUGGGAGGAGGGCCUCAACCAGAGAGGAGCGGCUGCCAGCCAUGUAGUCGGCUCAGCUCGAUGCCGUCCUUGGCGUCCGGGCCGGGGCAGACCGUAGCACCAUCCUUCAGGAGUCUUCACGACCUCCAGGUGCGCAUCUUUCAGGAUUUAAUAAUGAGUUAUCUUGGGCUUCAUUGGACAAAUGAUCUACCUGGAGCAAUGAUACAGCAUACAAUGCGCCAGGUUCUACUGCAACAGUACGACAUACAAAGUGAUGGAGGAGAGGUGUUCAGAGAAAGAGUUAUACAUGUGCCAGGUUCUGAAGUAUGAGGAUCCGGUGCGAUAGGAAGCAGCUCUGAAUAUGGUUCCUGUAGAUGAACUUAAGGAGAAGGCGCUUAUUUCACUGGCCAAGGAAACAUGUGAAAAAGGUGGGAUCUUUCCGUCGGAUUUCCCAGCUGGCUAUAUGCAUCAUAGAGCAUCUAAUCUGCAUCAAUUUAGACAUGGUGUGGAGCGUCGACCACGGCGAGCUUGGCUAAUGUCAACACGUGAAGGUGAGUUUCACCCAAUUCCUUUUCACCCCUCUCUCUCUCCCUCUCUAAUUCCAUCUAACUCUGCAGCUCGGCAAGCUUAUGCAAUGUGCUCUGUUUCCAUAUUUUUUAUUGUUUUAAAUAGAUAUCACUCAGGAGAGCAUGUUCUUUAGGUUAGCAUUACCGUGAAGGACCUAUACCUUCCUGUUUAAUUGAUUAUGUUUGCACAACAUGUAUUUUCAAAAUUAGUUGUUCAUGUGCGAAGAAUUUUGUUAGUUUUUAGUUUAAAAAAGGUAUACAUUGGUUCCUAAUUUGACCCGAGCAGCCAAAAUGGAUGUAUAUAUUAUUUGUGGUGUUCUAAGGGAAGCAGGCCCUCUGUUACAGCUUGCUAGCCAUUUUUGUUUGUGAAUACGCAAGGGUGCCUUGCCUUCUCUACUCUGAAAUUUCAGGUAUUUGAUAGCCUUGCUACACACGUUUUGUUUGAGUGAUGCGUUCUUAACUGAAAUGUCUUUGUGAUCGUACUGACAUGUUAUAUUUCGUCCUCAGCUGGGUCAAGUACAGAAGACGAAACACAAGAUUCAAGAUCACUCUCCUGUAUGUGAUUAUUUACUCAUUUCGAGCCAUUUUGCAACCCAGCUUGACUUCUUUUAUUUUGUGAUCUGAGCUAUACACACCAAAAUUAGCCCACGUAAGUUGGAACCAUAUCUGAACUUGUUA